rnacentral:rRNA from 1 species
AUUGAACGCUGGCGGCAUGCCUUACACAUGCAAGUCGAACGGCAGCACGGGUGCUUGCACCUGGUGGCGAGUGGCGAACGGGUGAGUAAUACAUCGGAACAUGUCCUGUAGUGGGGGAUAGCCCGGCGAAAGCCGGAUUAAUACCGCAUACGAUCUACGGAUGAAAGCGGGGGACCUUCGGGCCUCGCGCUAUAAGGUUGGCCGAUGGCUGAUUAGCUAGUUGGUGGGGUAAAGGCCUACCAAGGCGACGAUCAGUAGCUGGUCUGAGAGGACGACCAGCCACACUGGGGGUGGGACGGGGACAAGACGACUACGGGAGGGAGCCGAGGGGAAUUUGGGGCAGUGGGGGAGAACCUGGUCCAGUGAGGCCGCGUGUGUGAAAGAGGCCUCCGGGUUGGGAAGCACGUGUGUGGGGGAAGAACGGUUUGGGCCUAAGACGGACGGGGGAUGACGGUAACGGAAGAAGAAGCACCGGCUAACUACGUG